rnacentral:misc_RNA from 1 species
GAUGAAGAACGUAGUGAAAUGCGAUAAGUAGUGUGAAUUGCAGAAUUCAGUGAAUCAUCGAAUCUUUGAACGCACAUUGCGCCCCUUGGUAUUCCAUGGGGCAUGCCUGUUCGAGCGUCAUUUGUACCUUCAAGCUUUGCUUGGUGUUGGGUGUUUGUCUCGCCUUUGCGUGUAGACUCGCCUUAAAAUAAUUGGCAGCCGGCGUAUUGAUUUCGGAGCGCAGUACAUCUCGCGCUUUGCACUCAUAACGACAGCGUCCAAAAGUACAUUUUACACUCUUGACCUCGGAUCAGGUAGGGAUACCCGCUGAACUUAUGCAUAUCAAUAAGCGGAGGA